GACCUCCAAUCAGUCAA
rnacentral:rRNA from 1 species